rnacentral:RNase_P_RNA from 1 species
GGAGGAAAAUGCAUAGGUGAGGCUACGCCCUGAGUGCAUUGUCAUUCUGCAUCCUGUCUCUUGGGAAGGUCUCUUGGGAGACCAGGGCCAGCAGCAGCCCUAACAGGGUAGUUCCUGAGUAUCAGGGAGGUUCCAGACGAUGGGGUUCUGCUUGAGGGCAGACUGGGCAGGAAAAGCCAUGGAUGCCACCCAUGGGACAGCUUGGAACAGACUCACAGCCUAUAUAUAUUCACCAAUACAGUACUAUCCUUC